UAGGAAAAUACAUCAGAGUGCUAAUAACCAGCAAAAUGAACGGAAAAGUAUUUAUUUUAACCCUUCUAGUACUAUCAUGUGUCAUUGCGACCGUUUACAGUUCACCUGAACCUGGAUCCGAUGCUAUUCGAACAAACCCAUCAAACUCUGCCCAGAACUCCAAUAAUCAGGACACUGAGGGCUCACAAAAACAAAACAAAAAGAGGGGCCUGCAUUUACCAUUUCUACCAUAAAUAGUGGCUGCCAUCUUGACAGUCCAGCUUAAAAGUCGUUACUCACAUACCUACUGUUGCAAUC